UGACCGUGCAAAGGUAGCGUAAUCACUUGUCUUUUAAAUAAAGACUGGUAUGAACGGCACCACGAAGGUUCAACUGUCUCCUGCAUCCAAUCCAUUAAACUGACCUCCCCGUGCAGAGGCGGGGAUACAACCAUAAGACGAGAAGACCCUAUGGAGCUUAAAACUAAAGGCAACUGCCAACUAUAAUCAUACCCGUAAGGAAAUAAUAAUAAGACAAGCAGAAACUGACCUAAAGUUUUCGGUUGGGGCGACCAUGGAGAAUAAAAAAUCCUCCUUGAAGAAUAGGGCCUACCACCCUUAACCAAGAACCACCAUUCUAAGUAACAAAAUUUAUGACUGCAAUUGAUCCAGUCUGACUGAUCAACGAACCAAGUUACCCUAGGGAUAACAGCGCAAUCCAUUUCAAAAGUUCCUAUCGACAAAUGGGUUUACGACCUCGAUGUUGGAUCAGGGCAUCCCAGUGGUGCAGCCGCUACUAAAGGUUCGUUUGUUCAACGAUUAAAGCCCUACGUGAUCU
rnacentral:rRNA from 1 species